CAUAGGUUAAUGAGGCGAACCGGGGGAACUGAAACAUCUAAGUACCCCGAGGAAAAGAAAUCAACCGAGAUUCCCCCAGUAGCGGCGAGCGAACGGGGAGGAGCCCAGAGCCUGAAUCAGUGUGUGUGUUAGUGGAAGCGUCUGGAAAGGCGCGCGAUACAGGGUGACAGCCCCGUACACAAAAAUGCACAUAUUGUGAGCUCGAUGAGUAGGGCGGGACACGUGGUAUCCUGUCUGAAUAUGGGGGGACCAUCCUCCAAGGCUAAAUACUCCUGACUGACCGAUAGUGAACCAGUACCGUGAGGGAAAGGCGAAAAGAACCCCGGCGAGGGGAGUGAAAAAGAACCUGAAACCGUGUACGUACAAGCAGUGGG
rnacentral:rRNA from 1 species